CUAGCCAUGUAGUAGUGUGGGUGAAGAUGAGGACAAGGCCAUGAGCAAGAUUGCAGCCUCCUCCACUCCCAUCAGGACCCUCCUUUUCUUCACCACUUGGAGGCUGCUGCUUUUGUUGCUACUGCUGCUGCUACUGUCUUUUACUGAACUUGCUGCAUCACUGUGAUCUUCUUGUUGCUGUUGCUGUUGCUGCCGCUGAUACUGCUGCUGCUGUUGUUGAUGAUGAUGAGGAUGAUGUUCUUGUUGCUGCUUCUUGUCUAGGCCUAGCUCUUGCCUCCUCUUCUUCCUGUACCGGAUCCCGCACGCAUUGCAAAGCGACUGCAAUCAAACCAAAAAAAGAAUAGUUCAGUGCUCAUCCAGAGGCUUAGUUCUUUUCAGAUUUUUC
rnacentral:sRNA from 1 species